CAGUCGCCGCGGUAAAACGAAGGGGGCUAGCGUUGUUCGGAUUUACUGGGCGUAAAGCGCACGUAGGCGGACUUUUAAGUCAGGGGUGAAAUCCCGGGGCUCAACCCCGGAACUGCCUUUGAUACUGGGAGUCUUGAGUUCGAGAGAGGUGAGUGGAAUUGCGAGUGUAGAGGUGAAAUUCGUAGAUAUUCGCAGGAACACCAGUGGCGAAGGCGACUACCUGGUCUGGCAUUGACGCUCAUGUGCGAAAGCGUGGGGAGCAAACAGGAUUAGAUACCCGCGUAGUCCCUGUCUCUUAUAC
rnacentral:rRNA from 1 species